AAGCUAAAAGAAUGAGAAGAAUCCAGCUGUUUUGAUAACCUAUUCAUUGACGUUCUCCUGUUUGAUUUCAGCUGACAUGCCUCAGCCCCUCCCCGCCUCGCCCAGAUCUGCACACAGAUUUGUCAGCCCCAGCCAUGACCCAAAUCUCUGAUUCACAAUACACACGGAGGCAGUGGUGUUUCAUCAUGUUUACGCCGAAUUUUGACUCUGCCAUGCAAAUGCUGCAGCAGAAAUCCAGAUUUCUCACACUGCGCAACAUUUUUCCAACCUUCUGUUGUCCAAUUUUAGUGAGCCUAUACAAAUUAUAGUCUCAGUUUCCUGUUCUUAGCAGACAGGAGUGGCAUCUGUGGCAUUUGUCACAUGCUGCUGAAGUUCAUCUGCUUUAGAACAUCAGCAGUUUCUAAAACAUUGGCAUCAUCAACCAUGCUACGUUCAGUGUGACUAAAAAUCACCUUUUUUCCUAAUUCACGUGCUUGGUUUUAAUUGACCAUGUCCACACGCCUAAACAAGCAGCUGAAUGUGUGUACCUAAUAAAGGGACAAAGGUGAGCGAGGACAAACAAACUAUCACUCCAGCAAACAAAAUUAAAGUUAAAUGGAAAAAGUCGAAAAGAAGUUUAUGAUUUUAAAUAUAUUUAUUUUUUUUUAAAAAGUCAUAUUUAUGUGUAAAAUCUUUUCUUUUUUGUUUACAAAUAUAUACAUUUUUAUUUCACUUUAGGAGAAAAAUAAAACCGCG
ensembl:lncRNA